AAUAGUGACGGGAAGCAACCUAAGGAAUAUGUCCUAUGUACGUGAUAUGAAUCAAAUGCUCGUGGUAAUAUUUAUUGUGUGUCAUACACCAUGUUCAUCUACCGGCACUUUUACAACUUUGUGUUAUUCGGAUAUAGUGUCUAGAUGGCAGGAGAAGCACUUCGCCAUCUGUGACUUUGUAGUUAUCGUCAUUUAUUGACACGUUUUUACUCUGUGCUGAGAAUACUUUACACUUCUGGGGAUGCUCUUUUGUGUCUGAAAUGAAUUGGUUUAAAUAAGGUCAGUGCAUUUUGAGUUGUAACCAGGAAGGUGCGAUGAGAAUUGAUAAGCGAGAACGCGAUUGAAAGCAACAACAGAAACCAUAUGUUACGACGGCCGCACUGACCCGCCUUCCGCCGCUACCAACCCCGCUUGCAGAACGAACGUGUCGGUUAAAACCGCUAACUACCUCGCGGGAUACAACCAAAAUCGGUAGUGUGUAGCCUUGCGUAAUUUAUCUUGAGUGCAACUACGACAAUGGAAGACGUUUUGUUCAGCGCAGUACAGACAACUCUCCGUUUAUGAACGAGUUCCAAGAUGUUUGUUAUGUAUAUCUUGCAUCAGGUGUCGAGGCAGAAGCCAUUGUAUAAAGUGUUGAAACGUAUUAACGUGCGUGAAGGAGUUUAUAUACACUUUUCUUCUGGAUUACCUUGCGUCAGUUUAUGCAAGAACGCUUUGAGAGACGUAACACAUCUGCAUUGGAAGACGUGGCUGCACCUUUACAACCAGAGGUAAAAUGUAACAUGUUGUUUCAUGAUGUACAGAAUGUGGACAUGAGGACCACUGCAUGAACUUGUGGCUGUAUUGUAAUUACAUUUGUAAUUUUCAUUGUGGAGGUAAUGAACUCCAUGGUGCUCAGUCAGUCUUGAAAAGUUGAUAGUUGCCAAGAAAUGCCUUUAUUUGAUAUUAAUGUGUUCACAAAAGCCCACCACUAGAUACUAUCCUGAACCAGCUCACACCCUCAAGACAUUAUUUCUUUAAGCUGUAUCUUAGUACAGUAGGGCCCCGCUUUUCGGCGAUCCGCUAAUACGGCGCUCAACAGCUGAGUCAGAGAAGUGCGUCCGGCACCAUUUUCUCGUCGCUGAUUCAG